rnacentral:lncRNA from 1 species
GAACGCUCACGCAGAGCUCAACGCCAUGAAGGAAGAGGCUGAGAAGAGCAAGCGGCGGCAGGAGGUGGGUGCCCAUGGGCGCCAUCUUGAAAAACCCAUCUGGCCACCACGCUGCUCCGCUUGGAUUUCAGAAGGGAAGCAGAGUAGUGUUUAGAAACGAUGUGUCGAGGUGUCCUGCUCACUCCUUCCUUCCUUCCAUGUAUCCAUCAUCCACUCCUUCCUUCCUUCCUUGUAUCCAUCAUCCACUCCUUCCUUCCUUCCUUCCUUCCUUCCUUCCUUCCUUCCUUCCUUCCUUCCUUCCUGCGGUUGAGAGGAUUAUGGGUGGUAUCCUGAGAUUAUUUUAAAACCUACCUACCUACCUACCUACCUACCUACCUACCUACCUACCUACCUACCUACCUACCUACCUACCUACCUACCUACCUACCUACCUACCUACCUACCUACCUACCAUUUUUACCCCACAUUUCUCUAAUGAAGGCAAAAGGCAGAACGCAAGGACACGCAGCAGUCACCGGCAGACACCUGCAUGACUCUUGCACUUCUACAUGGUCAGAUUUUUGAGAAACCAGGUGCCGGACUCUCGUAGCAUCUCACACCUCACCUUUGAGAGGUGUCGUAUGAGACAGGUCAGCUUGCUUGAACCAAGGUGCCCCUGAGUUGACCGUGACCAACGCGUGACUUCCCAAAAUGUUGUCGGAACAGCGGUGAUCUCUCCCUAUGUGGUCUGGGCCCGGUUUGAGCCGCCAGCCGGCGCUCCCGACCAGAAGCAAGAGGAUGGUGGCCCUGAGUGGGGUUUGCUGGAGGCCCUUUUGCUUUCCGGGGGUGGGCCCUCAGCAGAUGCCUCCGUGGACUGCCACUGAACGCCUCGCUCUCCUCCCCGCGCAGGCCAUCUUGUCCGAGAAGGAUCGGGAGCUCUUGAGGUUGCGUGCGACCAUCUCUGCUUUAGAGGCUGAGCUGUGUGACAUGGAAAGGCUGCAGGGGGAAUACAAGCACCAGCUGGAGAGGCAGCAGGAUGAGGCCUUGCGAGAGAAGGAGAAAGAAUUAUUGCAAUUGCGGGAGGCGCUGGAGUGUGAAAAGCAACAAGUACUGCAAGAGGUGCAGAGCACUCUGCUUCAGGAGAGAAAGAAGUGGGAAGCAGAAGCGAGGGCUGCCCUCCAGAUGCAGCGGGAGGCUCUGCUAGAGAAGGACCGGAGGAUGCAGGCUGACCUCCGGGUAGCCCUGGAGGAAGAGAGGAAAACUGCCCUUGCUUUGCGGGACGAAACAGCCAACCUCCACGCGGUAAGAAUCACGGAGACGAAAACCGCUCAGAAAGGGAGCCCCAUAAGACAGUUGGGGCCUUUGUCCAGACGUUCAAGCGCCGUGUCCCAAAAGGAGUUGCAGGGCAUCCUCGCAGAGCUUGGGAAAAUGGACUGCGUUGAACGACCGGCCCUGGGCAUCCCACAGCCACAAAAGGCAAGCUCUCCGAAGCUCUGCCGGUUCUCCCCCUUCUGCCCUGCGCCUGUGACACAUCCCCACAACCCUCUGUGGGUUGGAGGACAACAUUGUACAUUACGGAGCUGGCUCCACCUGGAUCUGGCUCCUGGCUCAUGUAAACCCCCGAGAUGA